GCAGGCCUCUUAUACCUGGGAAGCUGAAGCCAGCCGGGGAGGGAAGGGUGAGAAGGCGGCGAGUGCAGUGUUGUGCUUCAAUGGAUCUUCAGCAGAACCGAGCAGUUUCCCAGCAGAGGGUCCUGCCCUCUGGACCUGUUGCUGCCCAGGUGGUGGAAAGAAUCCCAGAGGAGGUGAAACGGAAGAAAACGAAUGGUCCUUUAUUCGGGUGGCACUGAGCGUUGGGAUGCGCGGUCCCGCCGGGCGGACUGGCAGCGAUGGCGAGGAUGCAGCGGGGAGAGGUUUGCUGGGGAGGAGAGGAAGCACAGCUCCUGUAAUUUGCAUCCAGAUAUCGGGAAGUGAUGCGUUAUGAGAACAUCUCAUCUACUGCCAGGGAUGAACCUGCAGAAAUCACUUAUACCAACAGAUUUACAGACGCCAUGUGGAAAGUUCCCUGUGUUGUUUCCAUCUGACUACAGCAGCAUCUGCUGCUGCUGAUAAAGCUGCUAGAAUUGGGAAAGGAUCAGCCUCAGCCCGGGCGCUGCCCCCUCGGUGGCAUCGGCCGUCGCUGGGUUGUGGCUCGUGGCAGUGCGCUGGAGCAAUCGUCACCCGCCUCGGGGUGCCUCGGCCACUCCGCAUGACCCUCACUGCAGUGCCCUCAGGCACGUGCUGAGGUCCAUCGCUACCUACCAAGGCCA